GUAUGUGUGUGUGUGUGUGUGUGUGUCAGUAUGUCUGACACACACACAGACAGACAUACUGACACACACACAGACAUACAU